rnacentral:rRNA from 1 species
GGUUGAUCCUGCCAGUAGUCAUAUGCUUGUUUCAAAGAUUAAGCCAUGCAAGUCUAAGUAUAAGCUUUUAUACGGCGAAACUGCGAAUAGCUCAUUACAACAGUUAUAAAUGCCACGAUACUGAGUUCAGAUGGAUAUCCAUGGUAAUUCUGGAGUUAAUACAUGCACUACCCUUCGGGGUCGUUGUUAUAUCAACCCAGUUGCCGAGCUUAUGCUCUUGCAGGAUGAACAGUAUGACUAGCGGAUCACAAUGUGACAGAUCGUUCGAGUUCCUGACCUAUCAGCUUUUGUU